rnacentral:rRNA from 1 species
GGGAUACUGCCGGGCUAGAGGGCGGGAGAGGCCGGGGGUAGUCCCGGGGUAGGGGCGAAAUCCGAUAAUCCCGGGAGGACCACCAGUGGCGAAGGCGCCCGGCUGGAACGCGCCUGACGGUGAGGGCCGAAAGCCGGGGGAGCGAACCGGAUUAGAUACCCGGGUAGUCCCGGCUGUAAACGAUGCGGGCUAGGUGUUGGGCGGACUUAGAGUCCGCCCAGUGCCGCAGGGAAGCCGUUAAGCCCGCCGCCUGGGGAGUACGGCCGCAAGGCUGAAACUUAAAGGAAUUGGCGGGGGAGCACCACAAGGGGUGGAGCCUGCGGCUUAAUUGGAGUCAACGCCGGGAAUCUCACCGGGGGCGACAGCAGGAUGAUGGCCAGGCUAACGACCUUGCCUGACGCGCUGAGAGGAGGUGCAUGGCCGUCGCCAGCUCGUGCCGUGAGGCGUCCGGUUAAGUCCGGCAACGAGCGAGACCCCCGCCCCCAGUUGCUACCACCCCCUCCGGGGGGUGGGCACUCUGGGGGGACUGCCGCCGUUUAAGGCGGAGGAAGGAGGG